rnacentral:rRNA from 1 species
GAUGAACGCUGGCGGCGUGCUUAACACAUGCAAGUCGAACGGAGAAAGGGUAGCUUGCUAUCUUUUCUUAGUGGCGGACGGGUGAGUAACGCGUGGGUAACCUGCCCUUUGCAGGGGGAUAACAGUGAGAAAUCACUGCUAAUACCGCAUACCAACUUCUUUCGCAUGAAAGAAGUUUGAAAGAUUUAUCGGCAAGGGAUGGACCCGCGUUGGAUUAGCUAGUUGGUGAGAUAACAGCCCACCAAGGCAACGAUCCAUAGCCGGCCUGAGAGGGUGAACGGCCACACUGGGACUGAGACACGGCCCAGACUCCUACGGGAGGCAGCAGUGGGAAUAUUGCACAAUGGGCGAAAGCCUGAUGCAGCGACGCCGCGUGAAGGAUGAAGGUCUUCGGAUUGUAAACUUCUAUCAGCAGGGAAGAAAGGGCCUAUGGCCUAUGACGGUACCUGACUAAGAAGCCCCGGCUAACUACGUGCCAGCAGCCGCGUAAAAGUGU